rnacentral:tRNA from 1 species
GCCGAGGUGGCGGAAUUGGUAGACGCGCAUGGUUCAGGUCCAUGUGGGAGAAAUCCCGUGGAGGUUCAAGUCCUCUUCUCGGCA